GGGGUUAGUAACUGACAGCUCGGCCUCGAAACGAGAAGACUCAAGUAGGUCAGGCUGUGUCAACGGUUUGAAAUCCAGGGUCCACCCCAGUGGGCUUAAGGGAGUAGAGCAGCAGGAGGAGAUCGGCAGCGUAGCCCCACGCACCCCAUGUCCCAUUUACUUGUGACAAUGGAUCAUUAGACCCAGGGGCUCGAAACCCCCAACAGAGAACAAAACAGAGCGGAAGUAGGACGGAAGAACUGAUCCACCUCACCAGAAAAGGAGGAGCCUUGAGAGUAGACAGCAAAAGGCAGCCCAUGGACAAAUACUUGAGGCGGGCACAGUGGAACAUUUCUCUAGAAGCCUCCUACCGUCUUAAUGUGCAUGCUUUGCUAGAGGGAGAAACAAUCUUAACCUGACAAUAGCAAGGCCUCCGGGAUCCUAGCAGAUGAAAAUACCUUUGGAAACUUCCCCUUGCCUUUACCUCCCCCAACUCCCAAGUAUAUAAUCAGUCACUCCUCACAAUCCCAGGGUAGCUCUUUCUGUCCACGGGCCCUGUCCCCAUGCUUUAAUAAAAUCACUUUUUUGCACCAAAGACAUCUCAAGAGUUCUUUCGUGGCCGUCAGCUCUGAACCCCCACCACCACUCCAAAACCACAUCAGUAGUAGCAAAAAAAAAAAAAA